UUUUUCAUGACCAAUUGUCUUAUAGUACAUAGUUAGUCUUAAUCAGUUCUAGUCGAUAGCAAAGACUAGUUCUGCCAAAUAACUCCAUAUAAAACUAUGUAAAUCGACUAUUUUUAGUCAAACGUACUAAGACUUGCGACCUUAGUACGAUAUAAUCAAUACUAUAUGCUUUGAUUAUUUAUGAUUUUUCAGAUGUCUGGUUACCUUCCAAGUUAUAAUUGUAACAGCUAGCUUGGUACGGUCUGGUAAUCGGACGGCUUCGGCCAAGUCUGUUAAGUCAAGUGUUGUUACUACUUUGUUGUAAUGUAUAUCCACAGUGGUGUCUUAGAGCACUACACUCUAUGCCUGUUGGGUUUAUGUAAAAAUUUAUCCUGACUACGCAUAGGUAAGCGCCUUAGCGGAAGAAGCUUACAUUUGUACAACUUCAUGUGGUGGAUCACUCGGCUCACGUAUCGAUGAAGAGUGCAGCAAACUGUGUUAACCAAUGUGAAACGCAGACUGCUUCGAUCAUCGGUCUCUCGAACGCAUAUUGCGGCUUUGGGCUUGCCCUUAGCUACUCUCGAUCGAGUGUCGGCUUUUACCUAUCACGGCGCUUAAUUAGCCGUGGAUUGGGGAGCAUACCGUGGCUACAUGUUUUCAAUUCUAGCAUUCACGAAUUAAACGGAUUGCUAGUUUAGAGGUAGCUCUAGUGGUUCUCCCUUAAUUACAUGAGCAUUGCUAUAACUU
rnacentral:misc_RNA from 1 species